rnacentral:rRNA from 1 species
AACGAACGCUGGCGGCAUGCCUAACACAUGCAAGUCGAACGAGAACUUCGGGUCUAGUGGCGCACGGGUGCGUAACGCGGGGGAACCUGCCCUUAGGUUCGGAAUAACUCACCGAGAGGGGUGCUAAUACCGGAUAAUGUCUUCGGACCAAAGAUUUAUGGCCUUUGGAUGGGCCCGCGUUGGAUUAGCUAGUUGGUAGGGUAAAAGCCUACCAAGGCGACGAUCCAUAGCUGGUCUGUGAGGAUGAUCAGCCGCACUGGGACUGGGACCCGGCCCAGACUGCUGCGGGAGGCAGCAGUGGGGAAUAUUGGGCAAGGGGCGAGAGCCUGAUCCAGCGCUGCCGGGAGAGUGAUGAAGGCCUUAGGGUUGUAAAGCUCUUUUACCCGGGAUGAUAAUGACAGUACCGGGAGAAUAAGCUCCGGCUACCUCCGU